rnacentral:miRNA from 1 species
GGUUAGCAUAAGUGGUACC